rnacentral:rRNA from 1 species
AUUGAACGCUGGCGGCAGGCCUAACACAUGCAAGUCGAGCGGAUGAAGGGAGCUUGCUCCUGGAUUCAGCGGCGGACGGGUGAGUAAUGCCUAGGAAUCUGCCUGGUAGUGGGGGAUAACGUCCGGAAACGGGCGCUAAUACCGCAUACGUCCUGAGGGAGAAAGUGGGGGAUCUUCGGACCUCACGCUAUCAGAUGAGCCUAGGUCGGAUUAGCUAGUUGGUGGGGUAAAGGCCUACCAAGGCGACGAUCCGUAACUGGUCUGAGAGGAUGAUCAGUCACACUGGAACUGAGACACGGUCCAGACUCCUACGGGAGGCAGCAGUGGGGAAUAUUGGAAAAUGGGCGAAAGCCUGAUCCAGCCAUGCCGCGUGUGUGAAGAAGGUCUUCGGAUUGUAAAGCACUUUAAGUUGGGAGGAAGGGCAGUAAGUUAAUACCUUGCUGUUUUGACGUAACCAACAGAAUAAGCACCGGCUAACUUCGU